UUUAAUGCAAGUGGCUGCCAUGCCUUCCUUACUCUGAGUGGUCAGAGCUUGACCUCAUAUUACUGCAUGGCUGGUUCCCUCAAAGUGGUCCACUUGGUAAGCAGAAUGCACUUGUGAGUACCUAGUAUAACUUUGCACACAUAUUUGUAUCUCACAUGUAUGUUGGCAUUUGAGAUACUGUCUCAGAUAUGGUCAUUAUGAAAAAUUGUUUUCAGCAUGCAGAAAAUGAAACUCUGCUCUUUAUCUUCUACCAUACGCAAGCUCUGCACCAAAUGCAUCAUAGAUGUCAAAAUGAGACCUGAUACCCUGAAAUUGUCAAAAGUCACAGUAGAGAAAAUACUCCCACUUCCAAGAACAGACAUAGGAAACAUCGUGGAAAUGGGCCCUAAGUGUCCUGACUGAGCGUGAGGGGAACUGCUGUGACAUGCUGUCUUUUGGACAUGACAUAAGCCAUUGCUCACUCACAAGAGCUGUGAUCACCUGAAGCUUCAGGUGACCAUGUUCGGGACUGACUGUGAACAUACCUAUCUGUCCUGAACCAGACAGCUGGAAGAGGCAGUCUGCUGGUGGAAGACAAAGCCUACUAAGCCUUUGUCUCAGUACGGAAAAUAAAAAGGAAGCCAGAA